GUAAAACUCAACAGUGACAAAGAGACGAAGUACGGUUCCAGGCUCCAAUUCUCGGAGACUCUCGGAGACUCGAGGGCAGUUUACAUACAGGUACAACGGGACCAGCCUGGAGCCAGCCAUCGGGAAGAGAUAGCAAAGAGGACUCCAACUGCAUCACCCUCUAUUUCUUACCGAGUCUCAAAGAAGGGAGAAGGCACCUCCGCCCGCACCCCUCCCCCGUUUUAGAAGCACUAGCAGCAGGUUUCAGGCUCUGGGGAGCAGCACCCCCUACCCCGCUGCCUGAGAUCCCUUCAACCGAGUGAUUUAGAUGGUGCCGAGAGCUCUCUCCGCGUUCUAAUGGCGUCACUGCGCUGUCCUUCACCACAUCUGGAAACUGAGACUUCACCUAAAGGACCCUAAUAUGAGUUGGAUGCAGAGGGACCGAAUUUCUGUAAAUAGAGGCUCAACGUGAAGGAUUACGCUUCUUUCCACAGUGAGUGGCAGGCAUCCCGACCAGGGCACCAGCUUGCCGGACUCUGGGAGUGAGCUCAGGGCCACUGGGAUGGAUGCUGGAAGAAUGGGGUACCUCCUGGCAACCCGGCGCCUGCAGCUGCCAUGUGAAAAGGACCCCUUCUCAACCUGGUUGAUGCUCACUGCCCGCAACAAAACAGGAAACCAGCGCCGGGCUUUAUAUCAACAAAUACACCGUAGAUGGUCGAGAGUUUGAAGGAAGUAGGGGGUUUGCGUCUAAGUCUGGUGCUGUUGGACUCGGUGUUUCUCCCUGAGAAAUCAGCGUGGAGCCAGGAGAACUGGGCCCAUAGGGGUCUUCCGUAAUGACACUCCCCAUCUGGCUGUGAAUUCUUAAUAGACAAAGCAACAGAGGGAGGGAAACUCACCAGCAAGGAGAAAGGGGGAAACUCAAGACCCCUUCAAGUACACACUGAGGUGUAAUCAGAUUUUACAGGCACGUUAUAUACUGUAACCAUAGCUAUGUGUGUGCCUUCAUACGCACACGCACAGAUUCACACACCAAAUGUAUACACAGGCACAAGCGUAGUGAAAUACAGUCAUUAUGCCAAGUCCUAAGGGGGGAAAAUCACCUUGUCAAAGCAGCCUGGUGGCCAGUUUCCUGUCCUCUGGUUCAAUUCAGCUUUCUCCAACCACUGGUCCUCCCUCCUGGGUCUGUAAAUACGGUAAAUACACCUGUCUUCAGUGGAAGGUGAGCGGUCCAUCAGCAUUUGUCUGGUUCAGAUGGCCUCCCCUAGAGUCUCUGGACUCUCCCGGAGCUGUUCCGACCUUGUGAGGGAGCCUCCAGCUGCAGUCCUUUGUCUGUGGGACUAGAUCCCUUCGUGGCCCAAUGCUCUGGGAAAUGAAGCCGCUCAAUACAAACUUUUGAUAUUAGUUUUUAAAGGUAUUUACACGUUGGUGAGAGUAGCUGGGUACGGAAGCUGCUUCGUUAAUCAGCCCCUGACCGACCUUAGGUUCGGCUGGGACUAGGAGCUGGCCGGAAAGGAAAAAAAGCUUCGGGAAGUCGGAGAGAAUGAAAAACAAAACAAAACUGCACAAGGUCAUUUUCUGUUCCUGGAAACUGAGUAAGUGGGCCAUUCCAGGGACUCCCCAGUUGGCCACUCCCUCCCGCUUUGUACAGGGAACAUGUUUUCUGCCUUUGCCUAAUACAACAACUACACUUUAAAAUAUAUGUCCCCCCUCCCAAUACAUAUAAAGGUGUAGCAAGCCCCUCUACAUCCAGUUUAUCUUUGACUUUAUUAUCAUCUUAUCUUGCAUACCUUUUUUGAUAAUUAAAGCUUAAUUUAAAGGAAUAUUUUUAAACUGCUUCAUUCUCAAUAGAAGGUUUUGAGAAUUUUUAAGAUUGUGAGAAAGGGGUGAACUGGAGUUGUUUGAGGCAAGGACUAUCGAGAGCCCAAGGUUUCAUCAAGAAGGAACCUGGAGCAAAAAAGAUUUGGGAUCUUAUCUGAAAUUGUAUGUGUCUUCUUUAUAAAAAUUACACAUGCCGGGGAGGGUUAUAUCAACUUCUUCUCUGAGUCCUUUCACUGAAGAUUUCUGUUCCUUUAAGAUUGAUGUGGGGGUGCCCUGUGUCCUAACUUGAUACAUUUUCACGUUAAGCAAAUGCUUAUUUCCUAUUUCAAAACAUCUCUUUCCCUAUAGACAUCUCAUAGAAAUUUCUAAUGCUUAAACUAAGAGGAGAAAGGGUGGACUGAAUUGAUAUCAAAGUUACCAUGGUUUUCUAGAAAAAAAAUGUAGCUCUAUAUGCCUUUUAAAAUAUUCCUUCUGCAACAAGAGAUUUUUUUAAAUACUGAAUAAAAGCACGAAUGUUUUGUUUGUA
ensembl:lincRNA